UUUCACGUCUGCUACAGGGAAGCAAAAUUGUGUGAUGACUUGAGACGGGUUGAGACAGCAGUUGCAGCUGUCAACAAUAAAUGUGUUCUACCUCCUCACAUGGAAUUACGACAUCUAGAAUGCAGUCUACACAUGCAUUGAAGUAUAGUGAAGGAAGAUAUGUCUUUGAAUUCUACGACUAGGGAUGAUGCACUGUGUGAUCAUCCAUCCAGAUUCCGGAUGAGAAAGUAUUUGUGCAGCCAUCAACACAGAGUGCAGUCUACAUUCGCCUAGAGUGCAGUCUACAUAUUCAUUCAACUAUAGUGGACUGCUGUGCUGCGUGAGACCAGAUGGACAGAGGCUGAAGCAUUGGAUGUAAUGAAAAUAAUGUUUUUUUAAUUAAUUGUACUGUUGAAAUAAAGUGAGG